ACGUGUCAGACAUUUGACUUGUCAUUGUGUUUUCAGUUCAUCAAAGUUAGCUCCAACAUGUUGUUUACCGGUAAAUAUCUUGUUCUGUGUUCAGUUGUUCUCAAAGAAACUCGGAGGAGUCGGCGGUUCAUUUUUUUCCGAGUUAUAUACUGAAAUGCGCAUGCGCACCAGCCUCUCCUGACCUGUCCUGUGUUGUAAUACCACUUUGUGACUGUUGACGCUGUGUGAGUCAGUGGCGCGUCAAGUCUGCCCUCAGUCCCACGAAGAAGAACAACUUCCGGCAGCGCUUGACGUUGGCAUCACAGAAACACAGCAAUGGCUGAACCUGCUAAAAGACGAUAUUCAUCUGCGUCCCGAAGAACCGCUCCCGACAAGAAACCACGUUCAACGGCAAAGAAAAGAAGCAACAGAGUAAAUCUGGAUGUGUCUUCCCGCCGCUGGAGAAGCUGCUGAGAGGAAAGAGAUGCGGUUUGAUGCCGAGCUCGCAACUUUCCUGUUAGCCUGGACCUGAGCCAGUACAGGUGUAAUACCGCCUCCACCUGUCUCACCUACGGCAGAGAGUCCAGACAGUGAGGAGGGUCCAGUCUUAGACUGUCUCAAACAUUUCAUAGUCAGAAGAGGAGCUGCUUGACAUGUCCUUAUUUUUCCUUCUGUGUGGGACGGCAGAAUCCAGCUCGGAUCAGAACUACACCAUCCGAAACCAGCAAGAAACGGUAAGUCAUGCACAUGACUCCUCCCAUUAUACGUGUAUAUAGACUCACAUUAGGGUCAAAAUGACUGAGCUUGUAAAGUGACCUUAACAAAUAAUUCCAAUGUUUGUAGUUGUAAAUCAACAUUUGUUAACCUGUAAAAUAAAUCUCCAUGACAAAUUCAACUUCCUGCAUGUGUAGAAGAGA